AGUGGCGGACGGGUGAGUAACGCGUGGGUAACCUGCCUCAUACAGGGGGAUAACAGCCAGAAAUGACUGCUAAUACCGCAUAAGCGCACGGAACCGCAUGGUUUUGUGUGAAAAACUCCGGUGGUAUGAGACGGACCCGCGUCUGAUUAGCUAGUUGGCGGGGUAACGGCCCACCAAGGCAGCGAUCAGUAGCCGGCCUGAGAGGGUGGACGGCCACAUUGGGACUGAGACACGGCCCAAACUCCUACGGAAGGCAGCAG
rnacentral:rRNA from 1 species